rnacentral:rRNA from 1 species
UGGGGAAUAUUGCACAAUGGGCGAAAGCCUGAUGCAGCAACGCCGCGUGAGUGAUGAAGGUCUUCGGAUUGUAAAGCUCUGUCUUUUGGGACGAUAAUGACGGUACCAAAGGAGGAAGCCACGGCUAACUACGUGCCAGCAGCCGCGGUAAUACGUAGGUGGCGAGCGUUGUCCGGAUUUACUGGGCGUAAAGGGUGCGUAGGCGGAUGUUUAAGUGAGAUGUGAAAUACCCGGGCUUAACUUGGGUGCUGCAUUUCAAACUGGAUAUCUAGAGUGCAGGAGAGGAGAAUGGAAUUCCUAGUGUAGCGGUGAAAUGCGUAGAGAUUAGGAAGAACACCAGUGGCGAAGGCGAUUCUCUGGACUGUAACUGACGCUGAGGCACGAAAAGCGUGGGUAGCAAACAGGAUUAGAUACCCUGGUAGUCCACGCCGUAAACGAUGAGUACUAGGUGUAGGAGGUAUCGACCCCUUCUGUGCCGCAGUAAACACAUU